UAACUCCGUGCCAGCAGCCGCGGUAAUACGGAGGAUGCGAGCGUUAUCCGGAUUUAUUGGGUUUAAAGGGUGCGUAGGCGGCCUGUUAAGUCAGCGGUGAAAUCUAGGAGCUUAACUCCUAAAUUGCCAUUGAUACUGGCGGGCUUGAGUGUAGAUGAGGUAGGCGGAAUGCGUGGUGUAGCGGUGGAAUGCAUAGAUAUCACGCAGAACUCCGAUUGCGAAGGCAGCUUACUAAGGUACAACUGACGCUGAAGCACGAAAGCGUGGGUAUCAAACAGGAUUAGAUACCCUGGUAGUCCACGCAGUAAACGAUGAUAACUGGGCGUAUGCGAUAUACAGUAUGCUCCUAAGCGAAAGCGUUAAGUUAUCCACCUGGGGAGUACGCCGGCAACGGUGAAACUCAAAGGAAUUGACGGGGGCCCGCACAAGCGGAGGAACAUGUGGUUUAAUUCGAUGAUACGCGAGGAACCUUACCCGGGAUUGAAAUGUAGAUGACCGCCGGUGAAAGUCGGCUUUCCUUCGGGACAUCUAUGUAGGUGCUGCAUGGUUGUCGUCAGCUCGUGCCGUGAGGUGUCGGCUUAAGUGCCAUAACGAGCGCAACCCCUGUCUACGGUUGCCAUCAGGUGAUGCUGGGAACUCCGUAGAGACUGCCGUCGUAAGGCGUGAGGAAGGUGGGGAUGACGUCAAAUCAGCACGGCCCUUACAUCCGGGGCGACACACGUGUUACAAUGGUGGGGACAAAGGGCAGCUACCUGGCGACAGGAUGCGAAUCUCUAAACCUUAUCACAGUUCGGAUCGGAGUCUGCAACUCGACUCCGUGAAGCUGGAUUCGCUAGUAAUCGCGCAUCAGCCAUGGCGCGGUGAAUACGUUCCCGGGCCUUGUACACACCGCCCGUCAAGCCAUGGGAGUCUGGAGUACCUAAAGUCCGUAACCGCGAGGGUCGGCCUAGGGUAAUACAGGUGACUGGGGCUAAGUCGUAACAAGGUAGCCGUACCGGAAGGUGCGGCUG
rnacentral:rRNA from 1 species